rnacentral:rRNA from 1 species
UACGUAGGGUGCGAGCGUUGUCCGGAAUUAUUGGGCGUAAAGAGCUCGUAGGCGGUUUGUCGCGUCGACUGUGAAAACUGGGGGCUUAACUCUCAGCUUGCAGUUGAUACGGGCAGACUUGAGUUCGGUAGGGGAGACUGGAAUUCCUGGUGUAGCGGUGAAAUGCGCAGAUAUCAGGAGGAACACCGGUGGCGAAGGCGGCAUCCUGGACCAAUACUGACACUGAGGAGCGAAAGCCAGGGGAGCAAACGGG